rnacentral:lncRNA from 1 species
GAAAAGCAGAAUGCUAUGAUGUGUAAGGUGAAAACUGGAAUGUAUCUAGGAUAUAUGGGACACCUGAACAAGCAUUGGCUUUUGCCCUGUGACAUCUUGAAAGGUACUACCCAACACUUUUCUCCCAGUGGAAUCCCCUGGUCCCUACUGCCUCCCACCAACCCCGC